rnacentral:misc_RNA from 1 species
GAUGAAGAACGUAGCGAAAUGCGAUAAGUAAUGUGAAUUGCAGAAUUCAGUGAAUCAUCGAAUCUUUGAAUGCACAUUGCGCCCGCCAGUAUUCUGGCGGGCAUGCCUGUCUGAGCGUCAUUUCAACCCUCAUGCCCCUAGGGCGUGGUGUUGGGGAUCGGCCAAAGCCCGCGAGGGACGGCCGGCCCCUAAAUCUAGUGGCGGACCCGUCGUGGCCUCCUCUGCGAAGUAGUGAUAUUCCGCAUCGGAGAGCGAUGAGCCCCUGCCGUUAAACCCCCAACUUUCCAAGGUUGACCUCAGAUCAGGUAGGAAUACCCGCUGAACUUAAGCAUAUCAAUAAGCGGAGGA